rnacentral:rRNA from 1 species
UACAGAGGUCUCAAGCGUUGUUCGGAUUCAUUGGGCGUAAAGGGUGUGUAGGUGGCGCUGUAAGUCGGGUGUGAAAUUUCGGAGCUUAACUCCGAAACUGCAUUCGAUACUGCGGUGCUUGAGGACUGGAGAGGAGACUGGAAUUCAUGGUGUAGCAGUGAAAUGCGUAGAGAUCAUGAGGAAGACCAGUGGCGAAGGCGAGUCCCUGGACAACACCUGACACUGAGGCACGAAAGCUAGGGGAGCAAACAGG